rnacentral:lncRNA from 1 species
AUGGCAAAACCCAACAAAACAUUUAAACAGUCAGAGAGGAAAGCCAAUGGAAGCAUAAGCUCCCAACACAGUUACAAAAAUUACAGUCAAUCAAAAAACUAUCCUAACAGUAUGAAUCUAGGGGAUAGGAAUAAAACAAGCCCAGGUUUGAAUUGCACAGCAACUCAGCUUAGGAUACACACACAUGCACAACACACAUACAGAGGAAAUGGGGAAACAGUGUGCUUCUGAACUACCUGUACAAAGUUUAAGGAGACAUAUAAAGGAUAAAAGAGAAGUCAGCAAGUUCAUGGGGAUAUAAAUGCUUCAUGAGGCUGGUCUUGUACAUCCAGCUUCAGAAGAGGAAUUCUGAACAAUUUAAAAAGACCAAAGCAUAAGCCUUGUCACAGACUGAGGACCUGUGUGAUUAUCUAAGACAAAGUUGGGUAACAUUGCAGCCCUCCAGACACAGCUGGAUGCAACUCCCAUCAAUGCCCCAGCCAGCAAAGCCAACAUGGAGAGUCCAGCAGGAUCUGAACGAUCACUGAUUGCUCACCUCGGUCUAGUAUUUCAGGACAUUCUGUUCUGCACGAACUUCAGUACUGAUAAAUCUAGGAUAACAUGUUGCCUCUACUAUGUUAGGCCAAGAGACAUGGCUGAUCCAAUCUGCAAAAUGGUUGUAAGCCGGCUCUCUGAAGAGCACUAGAUGCUUUACUACACCUCUGGAGAAAAAAAGCAUGAAGUUUGUCAUAGGGAUGACAGUGUCUGAGUAAAUGUCCGGCCAUGUUGAUCUGCUGAAGACUCAUAUGGCAGGGGUAAAAGCUAAAAUGGGGAUGCUCUGAAGUCUGGGUUACCAUCAAGGAUUCUCAAUACAGAAAGUCAGUACUGAAGAAGGACAAAAUUUCAAGCAGAUAUGAAGAGUGAAAUCUGGAUGAAUAUGUAAGCUCCUAGACCUGAUCUUGCUAAGUAUUCCAUAACAUGGGGAAGUCUUCACACUUAAUCCAAAUUCAAAUUGUUGCAUCAACAAUACACAAACACUGAUCAGUCUUGCAUACAGACCUCCAUUCCCCACCACUUUGCCCAUGACAUUCAUGCUGUCUGAUGAUCUGAUAUAAAACAUGCUCAGUAAGCAAGCAUUCCUUUUGCAGAUGUCUAGAAUCCAGUUCUUCUUUGCAGUCCAAUCUUGUCAUUAUCUUACAGGAAGACACCCUACCUUCCAAUUGUUUCAGAGCAUAGCUUACAGACUCACUGA